rfam:Daucus carota subsp. sativus cultivar DH1 chromosome 3, whole genome shotgun sequence.
GCCGGUGAUGAUAUAAUCCACUGGAAUGAGGUGUGGUGGAAGCAGGACCCUGUUUACAGGGAGAACCACCUGCUGAAACCACAUUUCAAAUGAUAUUACUGGAUUUUACUGAGGC